AGUCCUGAAGUAGCUGCUUACGUUGGAUUGCAAAUCCAAAAACGGAGGUUACCUCCUCCCGGGGCUU
rnacentral:tRNA from 1 species